rnacentral:snoRNA from 1 species
AGGCCGUGAUGGGGACACUUGCGUAAUAGCUCCUUGAACCUUUCCCAAGUUUCAUAUAAGGAUUCCCCGUCCUCUUGCGAAUAUGUAUUAAUUUCAGUCAUUAACUU